rnacentral:ncRNA from 1 species
AGCGUGGGGAGCAAACAGGAUUAGAUACCCUGGUAUUCCACGCCCUAAACGAUGAAUGCUAGUUGUUGCCCUGCUUGUCAGGGCAGUAAUGCAGCUAACGCAUUAAGCAUUCCGCCUGGGGAGUACGGUCGCAAGAUUAAAACUCAAAGGAAUAGACGGGGACCCGCACAAGCGGUGGAGCAUGUGGUUUAAUUCGAAGAUAC